rnacentral:rRNA from 1 species
UACGUAGGUGGCGAGCGUUGUCCGGAUUUACUGGGCGUAAAGAGCGCGCAGGCGGUCGUAUAAGUCGAAUGUGAAAGCCCCCGGCUCAACCGGGGAAGUGGGGCCGAAACGACCCGUCUGGAGGGACGUAGGGGGAUCUGGAACUUCCGGUGGAGCGGUGAAAUGCGUUGAGAUCGGAAGGAACGCCCGUGGCGAAAGCGAGAUCCUGGACGUUUUCUGACGCUGAGAUGCGAAAGCUAGGGGAGCAAACGGG